UAUAAUAUUCUAUUAUACGUUAUGUUUGAAAAAAUUAUAUUUUUCCAACUUUCUAUCUAUUAGUCAAUUUUAUUUAAUCGAGUGACAACGUAUAAGCGCAGAUAUCUUCGUUUCAGAUUCAUUUUUAUUCGUCAAAAUGAUAUUAAAUCAUUUGUGUUUACUCUCUAUACCUUUUACGUUCAUCUUACUGUUCAGCCUAACGUAUUGUUCUUUGUUUCGAAACAUAAUAUGUCUAUUACUGAAAAACAUAUCCUUGAGUGUAUGUGUUUCAGGAAUUUGACGAAUCCUAUUCGUGUAUGCACGGAUAGCCGACAACUCUAGCCCCCUACUCCUCCCCAACCGAAACUCGUCAGAUAAAUCGCGGUGCGGGCUGUCAGUUUAGCGUGGACAGUCAGAGGGAUCGGACGUAUAUUCAUACGUGUCAUUUCGUGACAAGUGGCUUUGGCACUUUGGUAGACAUUUUUCUACCGUUCCAACUCACUCUAUUGUUACUUUCAUUUACUUAUUACUAUUAUUUGAUUUCGGGGGAAGUUUUGAUGUAUUAAAGGGAUGCUACGAAAUUUGAAAGGACGGGGUGAAAGUCAAAAGGACGCCUUGGUGAUUAACGAUAAAUUUGAUAACUUUUCGUCGAAAUGAGGUUUUUCAUAACUUGCAUUUUUUUCUUCUUCUUUGGGAAGGAUGUAGCGGUGUUUUAAAUUUAAGCAUGUAUGUCACUUUUUCCCCUUCUUCUUGUUCUCGGGAAAGGACCUAGUGGUGUUUCAAAAGCCAAAAAUGUAAGUAACUAUGUAUUUU